GUUGUAGUCUGGAGAAGUGCUUUCCGCGCUGGACCGUGUAUAAGUCUCUUGGAACAGAGCGUCAUAGAGGGUGAGAAUCCCGUCUUUGACACGGACUACCAGUGCUUUGUGAUGUGCUCUCAAAGAGUCGAGUUGUUUGGGAAUGCAGCUCAAAAUGGGUGGUAAAUUCCAUCUAAAGCUAAAUAUUGGCGAGAGACCGAUAGCGAACAAGUACCGUGAGGGAAAGAUGAAAAGCACUUUGGAAAGAGAGUUAAACAGUACGUGAAAUUGCUGAAAGGGAAACGCUUGAAGUCAGUCGCGUUGUUUGGAACUCAGCCUUGCUUUUGCUUGGUGCACUUUCUGAAUGACGGGCCAGCAUCGAUUUUGACCGUUGGAAAAGGGCUGGGGGAAUGUGGCACCUCCGGGUGUGUUAUAGCCUCUGGUCGCAUACAACGGUUGGGAUUGAGGACCGCAGCGCGCCGCAAGGCAGGGGUUCGCCCACUUUCGCGCUUAGGAUGCUGGCAUAAUGGCUUUAAGCGACCCGUCUUGAAACACGGACCAAGGAGUCUAACAUGCCUGCGAGUGUUUGGGUGGAAAACCCGAGCGCGUAAUGAAAGUGAAAGUUGAGACCUCUGUUGUGGAGGGCAUCGACGCCCGGACCUGACGUUCUCUGAAGGAUCCGCGGUGGAGCAUGUAUGUUGGGACCCGAAAGAUGGUGAACUAUGCCUGAAUAGGGUGAAGCCAGAGGAAACUCUGGUG
rnacentral:rRNA from 1 species